GGAAAAGGAACCUCGAACAACUUUUAGGGUUUCUCUGAAACCCUAGAAAUGAGAAGGCUUGAAAAGGAUCUGGUCUCGAACAGGUCCGAAUCAUAGCUAGGCCUUUAAAAGCUCCAACACUUCGGAAUGGAGCCGGAGAGGCCAUAGGACCUCAAAUCAGCAAAGGAUUUGAAUGAGCAUCUUUGAGGUUGCACUUCUAAAACCUUGAACAGCCAUGAUUAGGAGUGAAUGAAGGUGAGCACAUGCCACCCAAGGGUUAGGAUGCCAUGGAUUCCGAUGAAACAUGGUAGAAAUAAGUGGGAAAAGAUUAGGAUUUCAGAGAGGGCUAGAGAGAGUUUGAGUGAAUGAGGAGUUUAGAG
rnacentral:lncRNA from 1 species